UGCCUCUGCAGUUUAUGAUGCAAAAAAACAGCAAAAAGGAUGCCUCAAUAAAAAAUCAGCAAAAGGAAACGAAAAAGUACAAAGACAUGGAAAUUAAUUGAGAAAAUUUAGUGUCUGUCUUUUUCCUGUCAAAUAACAACCAAAUACUCUCUCGAUCAUGGCACAAGAUAGCCGAAAUUUCUCAAAUGCUUAAUAUACAGAAGCAGCAUCUGAAGAGAAAAUCUCUAACAACCAAAAAGGAUGAGCCCUCUGUCUUCUAUGAGGUACCACUGUACCAGAGUGUGGAGCUCUUAGAUCUCAAUGUUUGAUGGAUAUUAUAGAUGAAGCGCUACAUACAAAAUCCAAGGUAGUAGAUAUUAUAGUUGAUACCCUAGUUAUAAAUAUAGAACUUGGCUUGCUAUCAACUACCUAGUUUAUAGGAAUUAAGAACUUUUUGGUGUCAGUCAGUCCAAUCAUAUAACGAAUCUUAAAUUAAUUUGAAGGUGAAAGAAGUCAAAAGGAAGCACACAUACAAUAUCAAAAUGCUUUUCUCCACUUAUAUCCAUGGCAUCAAUGCUGAGCAGCAAACACGGAAUGACAGGAAAGGUUACAUCAAACUGCAAGCAGCAAUGAAAAUAUGCAAGUAUUAGCAAAUAUCGAUACUAGUAAAGCUUUGAACUUUGCGAAUUGUAAUACCAGAAUAUUAUCAAAUACAUUCAACCAUACGAUCAGAUAACCACGAAAACAGCUGAGCAAGGUGAUUUACAUUGAUCUGCAGGCUCUCGCCCCUUGCCGUAUCCACCGAAAGCUUGGUCUCGGUUACAGUAUGUAGGUACAAACCUUUCCAUAAUUUGAGCAAUGAAACGUAGAUCCGUCAGUGUCGAGUAGAAUUAAUCAUAGAAAACGCUAAAGUAACAAAUUUUGACUACAACAAGCCAAUAAUAGCAGUUGAACAAAGGAAUAUAAGAAGAAACAUUCAAACCAAAUCCGGUGAUGUUCGCUGAGACUAGAUACUCAAAAGGCCAUUUUUAUGUAUUCAGAAGCUAGACUAGAUGCUAUUACAAAAAUUGCUGCAAUUUCAUAUUUGAUUGCAAAAAGAAUUAAAAGCAGAUGGGAAAGGAGGAGAAACUUACUGAACUCAGAUAUGAAAAGGAGGAACAUGACAAUAGCAGAAACGAGCGUAAUAACGCCGCCGGAGAGUGUGCGGCUGUAGAAAUCCUCGUUGAUUUUCGGGUAGGCGUCCAAAUUGCGGAGCUUUUGUACCACCGCAUCCAUGCUUGCUGCUCGCUGCGGGAAAAGUCACAGAAAUUCCUUUGUCCCCGGGGUAGAGGUAACCACAGGGAGAGACGACUAAAGCAACAACAACAACAAAAAGCAAUCGCCUCUGCCUUGGUUUGCCGUCCACCGGAGCUACCUCAGCAUAAUGUCUGCGACGAUUCCAAAUCAAAUGGAGACGGAGAACUUCCAACUCUGAUUGGUAAAUUACCGAAUUAGAGUCAAACUUCUAACUCUGUCCCUUGGUAACGAACGUCCAACUCGGCUAUUCCCUUGUCCUGAAUCGGACUGAAAAGAGUAUUAGAAACAGGGCAUUUUGGUAUCUUACCUUUUCUUUUAAUACGUUCAUUUUUUUAUUAUACAUCAUUACGGACGAGAAAGAUUAAAAUAAUAAAAAUAUAACAAAAAAUUAUGCAUCACUCUUAGUCGUGAGAUCGUUCUUUAUACAAUUUGAGAGAUUAAAAGAGCUUGUCUCGUCACUUUAUGGGCAGCUCCAUUGACACGACGUCAGACCACAUGAACAUGCAAACGGGGCACACCGCCAAGAAGGCCAGUAUUUUUACAAUGACCGUGCCACUAGCUAGACAUCUCAUGCUCCGUCAAGAGAGUCGGGAAAAGACAAGUUUCGCGUCGCCUUCAAUGUCUACCUGCCACACGCCAUUGUCGGAAGCAGCAAUCGACAAUCACAAGUGUCACAGAUGGCCAGGAGCUCCAAGACGUAUGGGUCAAGGACCCCUGGAUAUGUGCAUCAUACCCCCAACAAAACCUCGCCACUAACGUUCCAAACCAUCCACUACACCACCGGUUGGGUCAGCCACAACACCGUCCACUUUGAUUUUAAUACAUGUGAUGAGCGAUUGUCUUUUCGCAGUUACCGCGUCAAAACAGCUUGCCUAUCUUUCUGAAGAUCAAAAGAACUGGCACCACUUUUGUCUUGGAUCACGCACCGCCUGAAGGUGAAGAGCAUUAGCUUCUUGUUUGGAGUUGGCUGAGCGUCUUUGUGGAAGACCAAGAAUGAAGCUAGAUUUAUCGAAACUCGCACCACUCUCGAGGUCUUUGCGUAGCGUAUCAGAUCAUGGGUCGAGACUACUGAGGAGGAUUUGAUACGUGACAUGUACACUCAUAUCGAUUCACCUACUAAAACUAUGGUGGAUGUCUCUUGGUCGUUGCCACUACCGGAGUGGGUUGAUGGCCACUCGGCGGGUGUGUUAUUCUUGAGACCGAACGAGCAGCCGAUGGAGGCUUGUUCCGUGAUUCCGAUGGGCGCCAUUUAGCAGCAUAUUCGAUGGACCUAAGAUCAUGUUCAAUCACCAGAGUUGAGUUGAUAGCUGUUGUGCAAGGGUUGCAGUUGGCUUGGGAGUUUUGAGUGCCAACAGGUACGAGUGCAACUAGACUCGAUCCAGCUUCUGCUGGCGGAGGGUGAAAGCAUACACCAAUACUCUUCUAAGGUCAUCUAGUUUCAUGAGAUAUUGAAUCGAGACUAAACGAUUAAAGUUGAGUACAUUUAUCGAGAAGGCAACGAGCCAUUGACUUCCUGGUGAGCCGAUGUCAUAAUUUCCCUAUUGAUGUUCUUUUGUUCUUUUGUUCUUAUUUUGAGGGAUGAGUGGUAAACAAAAAAAACCAUGGAGUUGAAUGAUUUAGUACUAAAGAAUAAGUAUUCUUAGGCGUUUAAUUUCAAAACUGAAAUUAACCAGUUCAAACAAACAUUGAAUUACAGAAACGCGACUAAAACGGCAAGCCUUUAUGAAGGUUGGCAGCUGAAAUCACACAUUCCUCAAUAGAUUUGCCUAGUUUCAAUAACCCCCUCAAUUUCUACUUCCUAGUCAAGUUAGGCAAAUGAACCCACCACCAUUUUGAUUUAGUUCCUCUAUAACUGGUAGCUGUUGAUUUGGGUAAAAGGAUUAAUCCCUUAUUGCCUCACAAUCCAACACAAAUAAUAUAUAAUAUGAAUGUGGAAAAAGAAAACCCCAAAUUUGAAGAAGAAGAACUAACCCCAUUAACAUGAGCCCUCUCGACGAGCUUAGAAGGGGACAAGAAGCCACACUGUUGUUAGAAUGAGAAUGUAAAUCGAAGACAAUUUUGUCCCCUAAGGUUGUCUGAACCCCGAAAUCAUCAAGGCAGGCAUGCUGCUGUUGCUGAUCCAAAUACACCCAAUCCGCCACAGCCUUCAACGCUACCGUCUGCUCCGCGGUCAUCUUACUCUUGCUCUUCUUCUUCUUUUUAUUAUUCUUCUUAUGGCUCUUUUUAGUUGUCAUGUUCCCAUGACAAUUCUGUUGAUGGGAUUGUUGUUUGAACAAGACUCUACCAUAGAAAUAUUAUCCACCAUGCCUACCCAAGGGCUAGGUGCUUGAUUCUUGUCUUCUGGGUUUAUCGAUACCAAAUAUUUUUUAGGUAAUAUUAAAUCGGAAAUUACGUAGAUAAUCCACUUGAAACCCUAAUUACGUAAAAUGGUCUAUACCACCACUUACAACGGCGUGUUGUAGGUGGCCUCUAACGGCUAGUUUCUAACGGUCGUUAGAGGCUACCUACAACGCGCGGCCGACGCACAGUGCGUUGUAGGUAGCCUCCAACGUUUACUUUCUAACCCUCUAUAUAAAUCGUGCAUUUUGUGGUGUAAGAACUCACCCAUCAUACCUAUUCAUUACUCAUCACUUCCUCCUACACGUCAACAAAAUGUCUUCAAGCAAGUCCAACGAGAAUGUUAUAAACAAGUUUUGCCGCCCCGAUGAGUCAAAGGAUUUGUUCACCUACUUCAGAGAAGAAGUGAAGUGUGAUUGUCGAUUUCGUGCAGCAAGACUGAUGACGUUGAAGUUCGAGAAAUACUUCAAUUUUCCUUUCUAUAAGUGUAGGUUUGAGUAGAAGUUGGAGGUGGUGUUGACCGAGAACUCGGUGAGGCGCGAGAUGCGAGCUACAAUGGAGGCGAAGGUAGUAGAGAAGGAUGUUGAGAUUGAAGCUUUUCGUGCUGAGAUGGCACAUGAUCGUUCCGAAUGGUAACGUGAUAAGAUAGACAUCAUACGGUCAAAGGAUAGGUACAUCGAGGCAAUCACCAAAGACUUGAAGGAUGCAAAUACGAAGUUUAGAAGGUUUAGGGUGGUGUAAUAUUUAUGUACUUUUUAAGCAAUGUUGAAUAAAAGAAUUGAUCGUUUAUAAUAAAUCGGUUGUGUUUCAAAUUGUUGUAGGUACUUAAAUAAUUUUAUCGUAACUGUCAAGCUUAGUAACUGAUAAAGCUGUCUGAAAGUUAUAUCAAAAGAUGAUAAAGGUGUAUGGAAUUGGUAUGAAGCUAUAAUUUUUAGGUCAAAAGAUGUUAAAGCUGUCGGAAUAUUGCCGAAAGUUGCAUGUUUCGGUCAAAAGAUGCUGAAACUGUCUAAAAGGUGCAUACAUCUGUAAUUGGCCGAAAGUUGUACAACCCGUGGUCAAAAGCUACCACUGUUGCCUAAAGCUGCAGCCUCGUGGUUAGAAGCUGCUAGCUACCAGCUGUAAAUGUGCUGGGGAAUCCUUCAGAUGAUUGGAGAGAAUAUAUUGUGGCAUAUCCUGCUGUAAUAUUACCCGCUCCCUUCUAUUUAAGCACAAACUUCCAUUGCUUACAACUCACAAGUUCUAAGCACCAUUUCGUAACUCAUUCUACCAACUCUGCUUCUCCUCUCUAUCCUUCUGAAUAGAUAAUAUUCGAGUUCUCCUUCAUUCUUCAGGGGCAGGGGGGGCAUCUCUUUUACUCGAACAUCACAGUUGAGUAUGGCGGUGGUCACUCUUGGACAGUGAAGAUGAGUUCAACCCCAACCUUCACCCAAGCCAUUCCUGUUUUUCUGAAGAAAAUGAAGAUCCCAGCGGAGGCCACCCUCCGGACCGUGUACUAUCGUGAACCUAUAGUGGCCGACGAUACUAUUGCUCGGUAUUGUCUCUGGUCGUGCACCGAUGAAGAAUCUUGAGGAGCCAUCUAAUACAUUCUAAAUAUCUUCCUUAUGUGCAACAAUCCAAAACUUUAUUUUGAGUUCGAUGGUCCAAUCGACGGAGUUUAUGGCUUAGUCGGCUAAGCCUCAACGAUUGGGCUUCGAACCUUCUGGUUCACAAAAUGAUGACGGGGUCUCACAGUGCGGCGUACAACCCACCGCUGAUGCCGUGGAUGCAGGCAAUGUUGACGACGAGCCUGAGUACGAUCCAGAUAACAACAAUGGGGAAGGGAAAGAUGACAAGGCCUCUAAUGAGGUCGACAACGGUAUGCCGAUUAGCCCUCUCUAUCCAGAGUGCGAGGAUGUUGAUGUUAUAAUCGGUGCGGGCGCUGCAAACUCUUCUCGUGCAGCACCACAGGUGUACACUGCAGCUGAGUUGUACACAACGUUGGGCGACAACAUCGACCAGGUGAUGACUGUUGACCACUAUGAGGGUGGCCCUGUGAUCUCGGAUUUCGACCCUACCCAUCAACAUUUCUACAUCGGCCAACGGUUUUACAUGAUGAAGUAGACAAGUCUUGCUGUCAAACACUGGGUCAUGCAUAACAAUCAAGCCCUGGCGACGUCUUGCUCAAAAACUUUGGAGUUGGAGGUCAGGUGUUAUUCGUACAAAACAAACAACUGCCCAUGGAGGUUACGCGUCACCAGCAGCGCAGACGACGGGUUCUGGAUGGUUCGGUAGUGGAAUCCACGUCACACAUGUGGCGGAAGCGAGCACAACGUAAAAUCUACCCAACUGGAUGUGAAUGUCAUCACGGAUGCGGUGAUGCAGCUUUUCCGGUCAAGGCCACACUUUCGGAUCCUUCUAAUCCAAGAUGAGAUUUAACACCUUUUCCAACGUAAUAUCUCAUAUAGAAAGGCGUGGUACGAGAAACAGAGGGCUAUGGAGAUGACUUGUGGCAAUUGGGAGGAGUCUUACAACAAGCUGCAAGAUUUCUUCAACGAAGUACGGAGUCGUAACCCUGGCACCCAAGUCCAAUUCCAUUUUAAUGACUUAAUCGGUGGUGUCGGUGUUCAGAGGCAGUUUCGUCCUGUAUUUGAGAGCUUCCGGCAGUGCAUUGAAGGGUUCUGACAUUGUCCACUUGUCCUAGUUGUUGACGGCACCUUCCUCACCGGGAAAUAUAGUGGCACCCUAUUGAUGGCUAGUUCAUUUGAUAGCAACCAUAACAUUUUGACGGUCGCCUUUGCCAUCAUCGACAAAUAGAGCAUUGACACCUAGGCGUGGUUUCUCUGUUGCACCUAAGAGCUAGUGAUAGAGAGGCAUAACGUAUGCGUCAUAUUGGAACGUCAUUCCGGACUUAGAACUACGAUGGACCAAAUUGGUGGGGGCUGGGUAUGAAGAUGGUGCAGCCGACAUUAUGAAAGCAACUACAACAACCAUGUGAAGGAUCCCAAUAUGAAGGCACGACUGAAGUCCACAAGUAAACUUCCCUCACAACUGCUGCAUUUAUCUAAAUUCCUUUGGCUAUUUUCUUAGACCAUGUGUUACAGUCCAUGAAGGGUCACAGAGGAGGUUCAACACCAAGCUUACUGGUUUUCUUAUCGUCGAUGCGAAACUGGCCCUCAACAAGAAAAACUAAGUCCUCAAAGACCAAGAGAAGUGGAGCAAAUGUGGUGAUGCUGAGCUGGGGGGCAUGCGCCAUGGAAUAAUGAUAACGAACAUGGCCAAGAGUAUUAACAGACCGUUCAAAUGGACCAUGUCAUUGCCGAUAUGUGUUUUGGUUAGCUCAACGUUUUACAGGUAUACGGUUAAGGCUUUCGAUGUGUCUUGCAGUGUAAAUUCAUCAUGCGAUCUUAUAGUAGUUUUGCUGUGUUUGGUAGGCCUACUAGAUUUUUUGAUGAACGGCACAAAAAAAGAACAUAACCUUCGAGAUGAUGAACAAAAUAAAACCAUAUCGAGGUCCUAGUUGUACGAUUUUGGUACGAUGUCCUUCCAACGUGGACUCACGUAGAACAUCACGCCACCACACAAACAUAGUAUAUAGGAUAAAAAUUAGGCCCAAAUGGAGAAGUGUUGCAUCCCCUUGAAAUGAGUGCAUGUACAUCACACCUCCUACGGUGGUUGCCAAAGCUCCGAGUGAACCCAAAAUAGGCCUUGGACUUGGAUCUACCAAAUGAUAAGAAUUCCUCUUAAGAUUCAAUCAUAAACUACUUUGCCAAGGUUGUAUGUAAACCCCCCCACCCCCUAAAGUAGUAAAGAAGGGCUCUUUGGGGUCUAAUUUUUAUAUUCUAUCUGACAGGAAAAACAAAUAGGAAGGGAUGGUUCUUUCAUUGCAUUGAUAGAAGUCUAACUAGAAAAAGAUCUUACUAUUACUAUCAAUUUAGGAAGAGAAUCAGAAUGAAAAGAAGCCCAAAAAAAAGCAAAAAAGAACAUAACCUCCGAUACGAUGAACAGAAUAAAACCAUAUCGAGGUCCUAAUUGUACGAUUUUGGUAUGAUGUCCUUCCAACGUGGACUCACGUAGAACAUCGCGCCACCAUACAAACAUAGUAUAUAGGAUAAAAAUUAGGCCCAAAUGGAGAAGUGUUGCACCCCCUUGAAAUGAGUGCAUGUACAUCACACCUCCUACGGUGGUUGCCAAAGCUCCGAGUGAACCCAAAAUAGGCCUUGGACUUGGAUCUACCAAAUGAUAAGAAUUCCUCUUAAGAUUCAAUCAUAAACUACUUUGCCAAGGUUGUAUGUAAACCCCCCCACCCCCUAAAGUAGUAAAGAAGGGCUCUUUGGGGUCUAAUUUUUAUCCUAUAUCUGACAGGACAAACAAAUAGGAAGGGAUGGUUCUUUCAUUGCAUUGAUAGAAGUCUAACUAGAAAAAGAUCUUACUAUCAAUUCAAAAAGAUCUCUCUAUUACUAUCAAUUUAGGAAGAGAAUCGUUGGGUUAACCGACGAACUACAUGGGAGGAUCUUCUUUCUUUUCUUUUUCCAAGACAAGCCCUUAGAAAACACUCACUUACGCCCAUCUGUCGGAUCCUAGCUACCCUUUUGUAACCAAGAAGAAGUCUUCUCUCGUUGACAACCCUGAUGCUACACGUGUGUCAUAUAUACGGAUGCAACAUGUGAAUGAACAUAUGAACAUGUUACAACAGUGGUAGCUUGAACAAACAACAAUGUAUCCCUUCUCUAAUAGCACGUCUCAUUCAUGUUCAAAGCAGCAAGAUAUAACAAGUUUCAUGCUCAAUCAGUAGUAAGUUUACUUCAUCCCCGGAGACCGGUCCAGUAGAGGACCCUUUAGGCGGAAACUACUAUGUUAUCGUGCAUUCUUCAUUCGCAUGAAAGUAUGAAUAUAAGCAAGCUUUCUUAUUCGAAAAAGAGCUAUGGAAGUUUUGUCGGUGUUCUUUCAUCUGUUAUAUAAGAUAUUUCGAAAUUUACAAUCAUGUGACUCGCCCAACCUAUACAAGGGGCUUUCAUCAGUAUUUUGUUGAAGGAUAAACCCUACUAAGGAAAGGAUGAUCUAUAGCUACUCCUAACCCUUAGCCGCCUCGACUGUUCGAAAGACUAACAAGUGGAGGAGGGAGUUCCAAAGCAACUGUGACUCAUGCGGCAGACAAAUUUAUUUCGACUCAUUGAAUGCUAGAAAAUACGCUUCUUUUGUCAGUUAGGUUAGGUGCGAAAGCCCAAAAAUAGGCCUUGGACUUGGAUCUACCAAAUGAUAAGAAUUCCUCUUAAGAUUCAAUCAUAAACUACUUUGCCAAGGUUGUAUGUAAACCCCCCCACCCCCUAAAGUAGUAAAGAAGGGCUCUUUGGGGUCUAAUUUUUUCGAUAGAUAGCAGGUUGCUUCCAAGCUCAAACCAUUUGAAACAACAAGCAACGGAUAAGCUUGAAAGAGGGAGCGGGGAAGGAAGAACAGCCGUUUUACUUUGGCACAUGAGGUGGCGGGUUUGGCUAGGUAACAUAAUGGAAAUGUAUCAGACUGCGAAUGCUAACAGUAUCGAAGCGCACCAAGAGAUUCCCGGUCGAACAAAUUUCGUAUAUAAAAAAAAAGAUGUGUUUUGUCCGUCCUCUUUUUUUUUAUUUAAAAAGAAAGAAAAAACGCUUCUUUUGUCAGUUAGGUUAGGUGCGAAAGCCCAUUAUGGGGGUUGUGUAUAGUGGAUGUUGUGGCUAGGGGGGUACUGUCUUGGUUCAAAUGAAUGCAUCUGAGUUAGCAAGCAGGUGGGGUACAAGAGAAAAAGAAUGUGAUCUUUAGGCUCUGAGUGAGCUAGGCGGUCAUUCUCCUACUCCUUUGAAUGUCUGCUCCUCAUAUGGAAAAUAGGAUGUCGGACUUAGAAUCUGCUUAUUCAAUAUCUUGUCCAGAGUAAAAUAUCACUACACCGGGGUUGUUGGCUUUCACGAAGCAAGACGGAUUUAUAAGAGCGCUACGCUAAUCAUCACCAUUGAGUGUUGGAGCAAUAAUUCUAUGAAAAGGGGAGUUAGACUUUCUAAAAAGCAACUGAAAUCGAGUACAUCAAAUCGAGAGAUCUUCGGAUUUUCGGUCUAUAGGUCGCGCAUUAGUCCCAUAUAUUCCCAUCGAUACAAAAUUAGGAAAUGAUUUGUUGCAAUCUUUGCUUUGGCUGUGGAAGGGGAAAGACUCGUUGCCCUACUGUUAGCUUUGUAAAGUAGUACUCAUAGGGUAAGGACAGGUGGCAUAGCGCAGUCCUAAUCGAUGUGGUGUCCAGUCACAAUCUAGAGAAUAAGA
rnacentral:lncRNA from 1 species